rnacentral:rRNA from 1 species
CCUACGGGAGGCAGCAGUGAGGAAUAUUGGUCAAUGGACGCAAGUCUGAACCAGCCAUGCCGCGUGCAGGAAUACGGCUCUAUGGGUUGUAAACUGCUUUUGUCCGGGAGUAAACGCGGAUACGCGUCUCUGUCUGAAAAUAUCCUACGAAUAAGGAUCGGCUAACUACGUUCCAGCCACCGCGGGAAUACGGAGGAUUACAGCGGUUUCCGGGGUUAUUUGGUUUAAAGGGUGCGUAGGGGGGCGGAUAAGUUCGUGGUGAAAUCCCGAGGCUCAAAUGCGGAAUUGCCGUUGAUACUGUGCGGCUAGAGAGUAGUUGAGGAAGGCGGAAUGCAUGGUGUAGCGGUGAAAUGCUUAGAGAUCAUACAGAACACCGAUUGCGAAGGCAGCUUACCAGGGUACUUCUGACGCUGAGGCACGAAAGUGCGGGGAUCAAACAGGAUUAGAUACCCGGGUAGUC